UUACGUAUUAACCGAGACGAUUAUAUUAAUUUUAAAAUUUGGGGAUUGAUCUUGAAAAUAUUAAAUAUUUUAGUUAUUCAAUUAUUCUGUACGAUAUUAUGUUCGUGAUUAUUAAAAACCGAUACGAGAAUAAUAGAAAUCGAGAGUUUUUAAUUAUGCGAAGCGUUGCUUGGGAUGCAAGCAACAUUACUUGGUUGCGAAGUAAUGUUAAUUGGCGUCCAAGUAAUCAUAUAAUUAAUAAUUAAUAAUUAAUUAAAUGGUAAUUAAAGAGAUAAUUGUGAUUAGUAAAUAGUAUAAAAGCCAAAGGAAUAAAUCAAAUAUCACCGUUCUUGCACAAAACUAGAAAAGAGGUUCUGAGGAGAAGAGAAUCAGCAGGAGAGAUUUGGAGUCGCAGAAGGAAAACAAAUCAAAUACUAAGAAAAUUGAUUAGCUGGAAGGCGUGCUUGUUAGUCAACUUAAAUUGGAACGUGGUGCACUGGAAGAACUCUGGAGAAGGAUAUUCAUGCAAGGGUAAAAGUGUGAUGAACCGAAGUGCUAGACUUGAUUGGAUUUGCAAGUAGAAGUUUAAUAGAAGUAUUAUGUAAUCGAAAGAAAUAUUUGUGAACUUUUAGAAGAGUGAUGUAAGACUCUGAUGUAAGGUAAAAUAAGCCUUUAAGUUAUGUUAAAGUUUGAGAUUAUGAAGAUGUA